UGAAUGCACUAACUGUAAGUCGCUCUGGAUAAGAGCGUCUGCUAAACUACUAAAA
rfam:Salmo salar isolate Sally breed double haploid chromosome ssa09, whole genome shotgun sequence.